UACGGAGGGUGCAAGCGUUAUCCGGAUUCACUGGGUUUAAAGGGUGCGUAGGCGGACAGGUAAGUCAGCUGUGAAAGCCCCGGGCUCAACCUGGGAACUGCGGUUGAAACUGGCGAACUAGAAUCUGGCAGAGGGGGGUGGAAUUCCACGUGUAGCAGUGAAAUGCGUAGAGAUGUGGAGGAACACCGAUGGCGAAGGCAGCCCCUGGGCUGAGAUUGACGCUCAGGCACGAAAGCGUGGGGAGCAAACAGG
rnacentral:rRNA from 1 species